rnacentral:lncRNA from 1 species
UGGGGUGUCAAAAUCCAAAUUAAUGCCAAUUAUGAAGAGUCCAAGUUGUGAAAAACUCUUAGUGCAAAUCAGAUUCAGCGUGCGCGUGUUGGUGUGAGCAGAAGGAGCCCUUCUAGAAUAGGAUUAAGACAUGUAUGAUAAUUCACAUCACUCUUCAUCUUUUGAUACACAUCUCAAAGUAUGAGAUAGAUUCUAGAAUUUUUGGGGUAGAAAAAAAUUAGAAAAGAGAAGGA